UACGUAGGGUGCAGGCGUUAAUCGGAAUUACUGGGCGUAAAGCGUGCGCAGGCGGUCUUUUAAGUCAGAUGUGAAAUCCCCGGGCUUAACCUGGGAACUGCGUUUGAAACUGGAAGGCUAGAGUGUGGCAGAGGGGGGUGGAAUUCCACGUGUAGCAGUGAAAUGCGUAGAGAUGUGGAGGAACACCGAUGGCGAAGGCAGCCCUCUGGGCUAACACUGACGCUCAUGCACGAAAGCGUGGGGAGCAAACAGG
rnacentral:rRNA from 1 species